CCUACGGGACGCACCAGUGGGGAAUCUUGCACAAUGGGCGAAAGCCUGAUGCAGCAACGCCGCGUGCGGGAAGAAGGCCCUAGGGUUGUAAACCGCUUUCAGCAGGGAAGAAGAUGACGGUACCUGCAGAAGAAGGUGCGGCCAACUACGUGCCAGCAGCCGCGGUGACACGUAGGCACCAAGCGUUGUCCGGAUUUAUUGGGCGUAAAGAGCUCGUAGGCGGUUCGGUAAGUCGGGUGUGAAAACUCUGGGCUCAACCCAGAGCCGCCACCCGAUACUGCUGUGACUUGAGUUCGGUAGGGGAGCGGGGAAUUCCUGGUGUAGCGGUGAAAUGCGCAGAUAUCAGGAGGAACACCAGUGGCGAAGGCGCCGCUCUGGGCCGAGACUGACGCUGAGGAGCGAAAGCGUGGGUAGCAAACAGGAUUAGAUACCCCUGUAGUC
rnacentral:rRNA from 1 species